GACGAACGCUGGCGGCGUGCUUAACACAUGCAAGUCGAACGGAAAGGCCCUGCUUUUGUGGGGUGCUCGAGUGGCGAACGGGUGAGUAACACGUGAGUAACCUGCCCUUGACUUUGGGAUAACUUCAGGAAACUGGGGCUAAUACCGGAUAGGAGCUCCUGCUGCAUGGUGGGGGUUGGAAAGUUUCGGCGGUUGGGGAUUGACUCGCGGCUUAUCAGCUUGUUGGUGGGGUAGUGGCGUACCAAGGCUUUGACGGGUAGCCGGCCUGAGAGGGUGACCGGCCACAUUGGGACUGAGAUACGGCCCAGACUCCUACGGGAGGCAGCAGUGGGGAAUAUUGCACAAUGGGCGGAAGCCUGAUGCAGCAACGCCGCGUGCGGGAUGACGGCCUUCGGGCUGUAAACCGCUUUCGCCUGUGACGAAGCGUGAGUGACGGUAAUGGGUAAAGAAGCACCGGCUAACUACGUG
rnacentral:rRNA from 1 species